rnacentral:rRNA from 1 species
GAUGAACGCUGGCGGCGUGCCUAAUACAUGCAAGUCGAGCGAACAGACGAGGAGCUUGCUCCUCUGACGUUAGCGGCGGACGGGUGAGUAACACGUGGAUAACCUACCUAUAAGACUGGGAUAACUUCGGGAAACCGGAGCUAAUACCGGAUAAUAUAUUGAACCGCAUGGUUCAAUAGUGAAAGACGGUUUUGCUGUCACUUAUAGAUGGAUCCGCGCCGCAUUAGCUAGUUGGUAAGGUAACGGCUUACCAAGCAACGAUGCGUAGCCGACCUGAGAGGGUGAUCGGCCACACUGGAACUGAGACACGGUCCAGACUCCUACGGGAGGCAGCAGUAGGGAAUCUUCCGCAAUGGGCGAAAGCCUGACGGAGCAACGCCGCGUGAGUGAUGAAGGUCUUCGGAUCGUAAAACUCUGUUAUUAGGGAAGAACAAAUGUGUAAGUAACUAUGCACGUCUUGACGGUACCUAAUCAGAAAGCCACGGCUAACUACGUG